rnacentral:rRNA from 1 species
UACAGAGGGUGCGAGCGUUAUUCGGAAUUACUGGGCGUAAAGGGCUCGUAGGCGGCCAACUAAGUCAGACGUGAAAUCCCCAGGCUUAACCUGGGAACUGCGUCUGAUACUGGAUGGCUUGAAUUCGGGAGAGGGAUGCAGAAUUCCAGGUGUAGCGGUGAAAUGCGUAGAUAUCUGGAGGAAUACCGGUGGCGAAGGCGGCAUCCUGGACCGAGAUUGACGCUGAUGAGCGAAAGCUAGGGGAGCAAACGGG